ensembl:snRNA U6 U6 spliceosomal RNA
GUUCUCUCUUCUGCAAUGCACAUACUAACCUGGAAUGAUACAGAGAAGAUUAGCAUGGCCCCUGCACAAAGAUAACACAUAAAUUUGUGAAGCAUUCCAUGUUUUU